AGAAUAGAAUGCCUCUUCCUCCAUUCUUUGUUAGGCUAACAUCUCAUCUUACAAGCCAUGCUCAGGUGCCAUAGUUCCAGGAAGCUGUCCCUGCCCCCAUAGCCAUCCCUCUUGGGGUCUUCCUCUGGGGUCCCAUAGCACUCUAAGCUUACCUCUAUCCUAUUAAAUAAAAGUCACCUGCUUAUCCGCCAGCCUCCCCCUUGAGGAUGUGAACUCUCUACAGAUAGGGAGGGAACUGUCUUCAUGACCUUACCAAGCAUACAGCCUGGCACACAAUGGCACACUGAACACACGUGUGUCGAAUGAAUGAAUACGCUACACUCUUGUAUGGGAGUGAGUCCCAUGAAAUGAAGCUGCUUUCCGAAAAGUAAAAGGAUACCAAGAUAGUUUCAAACAGACAUACACUGUCCCAGAAUUCUUCCUGAAGCAGACGGCGUCACAGCAAGGCUGCAAUUAUAGACAUGCGCACACAUUGUUUAAAAAAAUUCAUAGAAUGCACUUCACACUGACUUUUUUUUUCUUAUUGGAAACCUGUUUACAAUCUUGUCCACUGUCAGUCUUAAAUGUCACUUUUCAGAAAGCUGGCUGCUGCCAGCAGAAAUUUAUUUUCAACUUGAAUCACAGCAUGUUCAUGCAGAGAAGCGCCUCUUUUGAAUCUCCAAAUUGGAGGGAAUUCAGGGAAGAGAAAGUGAGGUGAUUAGAAUCUGCAGAGGCCGACUCAGGAAGAAAAAUUAUGAGGCUAAAAUAUGCAUGUGUGAGCUAAACAGCAGCUAUUAGUUGGUGGAGGUGGCAAUGGUGGGGAUGGCAACUACCUAGAAACCUACCAGGACAGUGAGGCUGCAUAGCAACACGUGGAAACAAGGAAGCGGGAGCGGGAGGAAGAAACAGUGAGGGAAGCCCAGGCACCAGGAAGGACGCGUGCAUUUACAGACGGCCCUCCUGUGCCAGGUGCUGCCGAAGAGGCCGUCCUUCACUCAGCCUUUGCCCAGCAGCUAUCAUUAUUCCUAUUUUAAAGGUGAAGAACAGAUGAAGAAACUGAGGCUCAGAGGUUAAUUUGCUUUCCAACACAGAGCUGGGCAAAUGCCUCCUCCUCUUCCUUCAAGGCCCAGCCAGUGUUGCCUCCCAUGUGACCUGAAGCCUCCUUCCCGGAACCAGCGGCAGAGCACCCACAGACAUCCAGCCAGCAGCUCCCACAGGGUGUCCUCCUGCUGGGUACGGGGCAGCCUCUGCCACUAGAUGGGAUCUCAAGGCAGACACCAUUACUCAUUCACCUCUAGAUCCUAUCCGCCAGCACAAGGCUUAGCCUGGACAGGGCUGCAAUGAAUGCUUGCUGGAGUAAACACAUGGACAAUGGAGUCAUGAUGUGAACCCUGCUUGUUCAAUUGUGAGACAGUGCUUCCCCCUCCCCCAGCUGCCUCCGAGCCUCCCUCUUGUUCUCCCUGGAGGGAGUCAGGCUGGGUAGCAGAAGUGGUUACAAGACCAGAGGGAGCAUGGACAAUGGUAAUAAAUAUGUAAAAUCCAGAAUUCAUUACAUCCAGCUAAUUCCAAAUGCAAAAGACACCACAGCCUCUGAGACAGAUCCCAAUGAGGGAGUCUGAUUUGUAACUGACAAUUUGAAAAGUGGACCAGAAUUGUUUGGUCUAAAUCAUGAAAUCAUUCUCUUCUUGAUGGGCAAGAUUAGUAAAUACACAACCUCUACUAAUUUGGGGCUCAAGGGCUUAUCCCCCAGCCUGCCUCAGUUUUAGUUCUGUAAGAGACCCUCUGUGAGGUCCUUAGGGGGCCUCCCCACUCCACGUCCCUGGACUAGAGACCCUCUGGACAUGAACCUCAAAUCUCCAAAGCAGAGGAUGUAGUUCUCUUAAGGAGACAGCAUUAAAGCGAGACGUUAACAUUACAUAAAGUAAACUCUGUCCUCUGGGGGAGAGAUGCUCCACAAACCGAGAUAAAGUGAGUAUCCCUCAUGCGGUGCGCUUGAAAACAGGCACCUUUGCGUGGUGCCUGCCUUCAUCUAUCAUCCCCAAAGAAAGGGAGAGAGGGCCUGCCGAGCCACCCGGGAAAGACAGCUAAUGCUUACAAUUCGGCCAGGCAGGAGGUCUGCAAAUGCUCCCCUCUGGCCUCCCACACUCAAAACAUUUCCUAUAGCGAAGGCUUCAAAGGUAGAGAAGCGAAUAAAGAUUUCCCCUCUGCCCUAUGCCAGCUGAGAGAAUAUCUUCCUCUUCCCUCUGUUACACACACACACACACACACAUCCACACACCUCAGACACGCACACAUACAGCUGCAGGCGAGAACCAAAACCACAGACCUAGCUCGAAUGGAGGGGACUAUGUUUGAGACCACAGAUAAAGGUCAUGCCAAAAGCAAGUGAUCUGAAGUUAGAAGUUCUAGUCCUAUUCCCAAAACUUACUAUGAUGAAAGGAGAGUAAGGGAGAGAGAGUUUAGGUGGAGGCACUCCGUGUGAGCCGCUAGCACAGCAGUGGCACACACAGGAAAUGCUUCCAUCCAUGAAUCCUGGCACUGAGUAGAUGAUCCUGACCAGGUCUCCACCACUAGCUGCAGGAAGCCUCAUCCUUCGGCAAGAGCAAUGAGAAAUGGCCUGAAGGGCACUGAACUUUUUCCUCGCCUAAGUCCCCCAACUUUUUCUCUAUUAACUCUGCCUCAGUGGCAUAAGCUCCAAAUAAAUUUCUUCCUCUGCCUGUGGUACCGAAGGCCCCAGUUACAGCUUGUUGUUGUUUCACAUAAAAGUCAAGUUUGGCUCUUAUCAGUCACUAACACUAGUGAAAAUUAGUUCAUCCAUUUGGUGUCUAAAAGCAGUGAAGGGCAAGUUUCUUUUAUUAAUAGGUGGUCAGGUGGCUUGGGAGUGGGGCUUGGGUUCAGUGGGACGAGGCUACUUUAGACACAGCACAAGCUGGUGUCAGUGAGAUAACUGGAGAAACUCAGUCUCCUUAUGGGCAAAAUGGAAAAACACGGGCUGAACAGCCACAGCUAGACAGUGGGUUAGUAGCUGUUGUCAACACUGCUGGUGAAGGUGCUUUGUACGCUCCCUGCAUGUUCUGAUCCCAACCGACAUCAUCAGUAGUCACCUAGGUUAAAACACAGAAAACGCUGAUAAAAUCUGUAAAGAAGCUGGUGACAAAAAGGACCAGAAAAAUUCUCAGGAGACUGGAACAAUAGGCUGAAACUAACAAGUUGAGGUGUAUUUGGGACAAUUGUGAAUUCCUACACUUUGGUUAAAAAAAAUCACCUUUAGAAGUACUAGUUAAGGCCGGCCUGUUUUGAAAACAAUUUCCAUGGUAGGUGUACAAGGUGCAAAGUUUUAUGUUUAAUACAUGGUUCAGCAAUGGCCAGUGUAGGAUAUAGUUCAAACAAAAGAAUAAUGCGACCCACUACAUUCACAGAAGUAGAAAAUCCUGAGCUGUACUCAAGUGUGGUGGAGUCCAUUAGAAACAGGAAUAUAUCAGCCAGGCAAGGUGGCUCACGCCUGUAAUCCCAGCACAGUCGGAGGCGGAGGUGGGCAAAUCACCUGAGGUCAGGAGUUAGAGACCAGCCUGGCCAACAUGGUAAAACCCCAUCUCUACUAAAAAUACCAAAAAAAUUAGCCAGGCGUGGUGGGGGGCACCUGUAAUCCCAGCUACUGGGGAGGGUGAGGCAGGAGAAUCGCUUGAACCCAGGGGACAGAGGUUAUAGUGAGCCAAGAUCAUGCCACUGCACUCCAGCCUGGGUGACAUAGCAAGACUCCAUCUAAAAAUAAAACAAAAAAACAAAAACAAAAACAAACCAGGAAUAUAAUGUGAGUCACAUACAUAAUUUUCAAUUGUCUAGUAGCACAUUAAAAAAAAAACAAGGUAAAUUAAUCUUCAUAAUGUAUUUUAUUUUAUACAAUAUAUGCUAUAAUUUCAAUACUUAAUCAAUAUAGAAAAUUAUUAAUGAGAGUUACGUUGUUUUUUUCAUCCUAGGCCACAGGAAACUGCUGUGUAUUCCGCCUUUGCGGCACAUCUCCCUUUGGGCGAGGCACAUUGCAAGUGCUCUGCAGCCACAUGUAGCCAGAGGCCACUGUACUGAAUGCGACAAGGCUGGAGUAGGGGUGGAGAUAAGUCCACUGCACUGUGUUCUCAACAGAACCACAUCCAGAAUAUCUGGUAUUUCAGGCCUUUUAGGAGGGACAAUGAUAAACCAGAGCCUGGCUAAGACUAUCUGAAGGACUGGGAGUGAGAACGGUUAGUGGAAAAGAACUGGAUCCUUCUAGCACUAGUGGGGAAAUCACCAGCAAUGAUCCGGUGUUAUGUGGCUGCAGAGUGCAGAACUAGGACUAGGGCAUGAAAACUGUGAUGAUGGCAUUUGGGCCCUUUUUAGAAUGAGGUUCCCUGACACCAGAAGGAACGGUGUAGGCCAAGGCCAGACAGCCUGCAAAAGAGGCUAUCUGUGUGGAUAGAAAGCUGAUGUCCUCUCUGAUCUGAGGCUCUGAGAUGCUAAGUAACAACAUGAAGGAAAAUGACUGGCUGCCUAGCCAACAAACCAGAAUGUACACACCCAGAGACAUUUCCUCCUUCAGGUAGUCUUCUGGGAGGUCAAGGCUUGUUCUGGCCAGCCUCACAGGUAAUUCCAGUGGCUGGAUACCCGCAUUGUGGGGCCUUACCUUGCACAGCUGCUGCCUUCAAGGAGCUUAUAAGUGAGGGUCUGCCAUGAACGCUCUAGUAUAAUGUUAGCUUGCUGGGUCUCAGCUGACUAGUCAACAGAAAGAAGAAGAAGGGUCUCUGAGCUCCUCCCCACUUACAGAUCCUGUGUGACUGCUCUUCCUGCAUCUCACAGAAAAAGAACAUUUCCAGUUGUUCUCACGGACUUCAAGGCUAGAGGUCCUCCAGCCCAUCCAGGACCCUGGGAGCCCUAGAUCUCUCCAGCACUCUCCUUUGAAUGUCUAUCUACUAAUCAUCUCUACCUGAAUGUGCUGUGUCAACAUCAACGUGUCCCAAACCAAACUCCUUCUGUCCUCACCCUCCAACAUACUCCUCUGUAACCCUAGACUUGGGUGGAGUGGGAGGGGAGUUUGCUAUUGGGCCAGUUGGCUUUGUCUUUGACCACUGGGUGCUGGAUCUUACUACCUUACGGGAGAGGGACACGUAACUCUAAAGAAACAGCUGGAAGAGAAGAUUUCCGAGGGACUCCUUCAGAGCAAGAGAGGAAGACAGAGAUGAAUUCUACAUAGAAAGCCUGAGAAGGCCUCUCAGAGAUGGCUUCCUUGCCCUCCCCAGAUGUUCACAGGGUUAACUGUGAGUUAGGCUCUGUGCUGGGCACUAGGGGCCACCAAGGACUCCAGCGUGGCUUCUGUUACUGAGGUGCUUUCAGCCUCAUGGGAGAGACAGACAGGCACAUGAGGGCACUGCCUGGCCCAGGUGUCAGGACAGAGGCUUGCUGGGUAUAAAGGAGGCACAAAGGAAGAGAGGGGGUCACUCCCAGGCACACAGUCAGGAAGAGCUUCACAGAGGACCAGAGAGGGAGGGAAGCGUGUGCUGAGCCUUGACAGCCUGGCUGGGCAGACCACAGAGGGUGUUCUAGGCAAAGAGAAUGCAGGUGGGAACAGCCCAAGGCACUCAGGAACAUAGCUGCACCAGGGGACUUGGAGUGAUGGGAGGAGAAUGUGAAGGGAAUUGAAAGUGGAGAUCAUGGGCCAGGUUGUGAAGGUCUUGGAUGCCAGGCCAAGGAGUGAGACACCAUCAUAUAGGGACUAGGGGACAUAGGAGAGUUUUAGGAUGAGAUCUGUCAGGAGUAAUUGUACACUUUUUUAAAUACAAGAAUUUUUCUUGUUCUGCCUUCAUUUUAGUAAAAACGAAGCAUCAUGGAGCUGGCAAAUCAUCUCUGCAUCCCAAAGACAGUGCGACAUGUGAUAAUGACUGUGAAGCGCAGCUAAGCCCGUUAGCAGGAAUGACCAGGGAGUGAGAGGCAGCGCUGGAGUGUCACCCUCCAACAUCGUCUCUUUGUUUGAGGAUCACUAGGAAAGGAGCCAUUAGAAAAACGCUAGCCUGGUAAUAGGAGGGAAAUGGAUCUUGGCAGGGCUGUGUUACCCAUUGAGAAAUUAGCAAAAAACAUUCAGGGAAGAAAGCAGGGGCUUCUGUGCUUACCCAUUGAGGCUCUUGGGGAAUAAUGACACAUGGUUACCACCUGAGGAACCCCUGCUGAGGCAGCUGACUUGCCCAGUGGUCUACUACAGGCUCAGGUGAGUAGGAGGGUCCUUCCCAGGAGGGGCAGUGAUGCUCAGGCAGGGCUGGGAUGCUCAGGCUCCUUGCAAGAGCUGAUCCUCAAGUCUGAACCACUCCCCAGGCACUGUGUCAGGUACUAGGGAUGGGGCCAUGACUAAGACACGGCUUCAUCCUCAGGAAGCUCACACUCCCUGACAUGGUGGCACUGGAGCCUUGAGGGAGGCAGGACAGACCUCAUCACCCCCAUUCCACAUCUGUGGGCAACCAGGGAGGUUGGGGGGAGACUUGGUUUCUUUGUGAAUCGAUUCUUUGCUACUUUGCUUAGCAUCAAGUUCCUCUUGUCAUGGCAAUCACUCAGAAUACUGAGAGGGUGAAAGAGGAUGGGCGGUGCAGCGGGUCCGGAUGAAAACUUGGAGGGGUGGGAACUGCUAUGAUGUCAACUGACAGUGCCCAGAGAGCGGGGCCAUCACACCAGAAAUGCCUGCUCCAUUGCCACUUCUCUCAGAUGUCAGACACUCCUUCAUCCAGAAGACAUCCACAGAGUGUCCGUUACAGGGAGUCCCUGCCCUAUGCUCUUCCAUCCAGUGUGGUGAAGAAUCUCUAGUCCCCAGAGGAAUUUGGCUUGGAUCAGGGAUCUGAUUUCUGGGGGUCAAAUUUAGACACUUUGCCCCUAGUGGUACCGAAGAAUAGCCCGAGAAGCCCAGCUGCGGGUGAUGAAUUGUCACUCAGGGACUACGAGUGGAGGCUGCCAGGGCGGAGGGGAAGGCAUGCACGCUGAAGCACCAGGCGACCAUUGCUUGGACCGCCCCCUCCAUUGCUUCACCAAUAGCUUCUGGCUCUCUUUCCUGAGAGCAAUUUGAAAGAAAAGCAAACAUCUUGGGAGAAGCUGGGAUGAUCUGUCUCUAGGACUCUAAAAAGACUCUGAGGUUUCUGGGGGGAACUUCUCUGCACCAGGGAUGCUACAUCCCAGGAAAACAGGGGUCUGGGCAAGUAGCCAGAGGCCCCCCACAUUUCCUAGAAGAAUGGCACAUUCCCCUAGGAAAUUGCUUUGAGUGGGCAGGGCUCAGGGUCUCUCAAAUGACAGCUGCUUCACUGUCAGGCGUUUUCAUGUCACCUUGUACUGCUGGAAGAGGCUCCAAAGAUGAGGCUGGAUGGCCUAGAGCUUCCUACUUGCUAAUAAAACUGACUUUUUUACACUGGCUGUCCAAAGGAACCUGGAGCAGUGCGAAGCAUAUGGGCCUGGAGUUGGCCUAAUCUGAGUUUAACUCCUGGUUUUGCCAUUCCCCGGAAGUCUGGAGGUCCUGGGAAUACACCCGCACCCUCUUGGAUCAAACCUGGGCCAUCUAUGAAGCUGGCAUGGUGGGGGUACGUCAGUUUCAUAGAUGAGACAACUGAGGCCAAAUGACUUUUAAGGGAUAGACCUAGGACUAGAAACCAGGACUCCUGAUACUGAGUUCAAGAUUUUCCAGAGCCUCUUAGGAGCCUUGGUCAGGGGUGGCUCAAGGUUACAGAACACACCCUUAAAAGUGCAGCUAAGAAUACGAUUUCCUUCUGGUCCUCAGAUGGAUCUUUAAGCCAGAUCAUCCCUAUUAAAGGAAACACAGUCUGAUGAUCCCAUUUCCUGGCCUAUGCACAAGUGCCUACUCUGCCUAGAAGCCUUACCCCACCUUCUAACUAUUCAAUAAGCUCCUAAUCAUCUUUUAGGACCUGCCUCACUUAUUACCUCUUCCACUGAGAAGCCUUCAGGCCCUUUUUUUGUACUUUUUUUUUUGAGACAGAGUCUUACUCUGUUGCCCAGGUUGGAGUGCAGUGGUGCAAUCUCAGCUCACUGCAACCUCUGCCUCCCGGGUUGAAGCGAUUCUCAUGCCUCAGCCUCCUGAGUAGCUGGAAUUACAGGUGUGUGCCACCACGCCAGGAUAAUUUUUGUAUUUUUAGUAGAGACGGGGUUUUGCCAUGUUGCCCAGGCUGGUCUUGAACUCCUGACCUCAGGUGAUCUGCCCAUCUUGGCCUCUCAAAGUGCUGGGAUUACAGGCACGAGCCACUGCACCUGGCCUUUUGUACUUCUCUUGUAUGUCUAUCUAUUAUGACCCAUCAUUGUCUCUUUCUCUCUCUCUCUCUCUCUCUCUCUCUCUUAUAAUGUCUGUUUCCCUCACAGGGCUUGAGGAGUUUGGGGACAAGGGGCCAUGCCUUAUUCACCUCUUUAUCACCAGUAGCCAGCAGUGCUGGACACUGGGAGCCAAACGAAUGUGUUGAGUGCAUGGUCUCAGUAAAUCCAGGAAUUCUGAGAGCUGGGAAUAGCUCUGAGAGGAUGAGCUUUCAUUAACACAUGCAGCUCUUCCCGCCUUGGGUGGACAUUCAAAUGGCCCAUGUGGCUAAGUCACAACACCACGAGUCAAAGGCCCACUUUCCUUCUCAAAGGAAACAUUUAAAAAACCACGGGUGUUACAAAUGGCCACUUUCUCCAGGAUGAAAGACAUCUGGGGGAGGAGGCAAAGAGGAGAGAGCAAAAUAUCAGGUCUGUGUGGUCACAGCCCAUGAUACUUCUACAUCUUGAGAGAACCCACCGAUCAAUAUGAAGCAAGUGAUUUCUCAAUUCCUUUAGAAGGACCGUAGGUUAGACUGUUAGAUUCUUUUAAAGACAAGCAAGAAUCCUGCUGUUACAGACUCCUCCAGUUCUUGUCCAUCCUUUUUCUUCUAACUCCCCACACUAAGCUAUCUUCAUGGCCCAUGACACGUAUGGAAAGUAACUAUCCAAGUAUUUUAAAGCACUAUUUUCCUAUUGUUAUAAUGGCCCCAAUAAGGGCACCAUUGUUCCUUAGCGGUAUACAUGCUUCAUUCUAGUAAUUAGCUGUCAGAGAGGACCCGACAGCAGCUUAAUGUUGUCCGCUCAAAUCAUAUUAAUGAAAUGCAAUCCACUCAAAUGUCCUGAAUGCAUAUCUGUAAUUGCGUUAAGCAGAGAGGCUGGGGACAUCAGGAUCAAACUUCAGUCUCUGAACAGAGCAUUACGAUCAAGCACAUUAAUCCAUUAUUUCUUCAGAAUCUGACAGCCAAUUAAUAUACCCGGCCUUCAUA
rnacentral:lncRNA from 1 species